rnacentral:rRNA from 1 species
ACACAUGCAGUCGAGCGGANACGAUGAAUAGCUUGCUAUCAGGCGUCGAGCGGCGGACGGGUGAGUAAUACUUAGGAAUCUACCUAGUAGUGGGGGAUAGCACGGGGAAACUCGUAUUAAUACCGCAUACGACCUACGGGAGAAAGGGGGCAGUUUACUGCUCUCGCUAUUAGAUGAGCCUAAGUCGGAUUAGCUAGAUGGUGGGGUAAAGGCCUACCAUGGCGACGAUCUGUAGCUGGUCUGAGAGGAUGAUCAGCCACACCGGGACUGAGACACGGCCCGGACUCCUACGGGAGGCAGCAGUGGGGAAUAUUGGACAAUGGGGGAAACCCUGAUCCAGCCAUGCCGCGUGUGUGAAGAAGGCCUUUUGGUUGUAAAGCACUUUAAGCAGUGAAGAAGACUCCNNGGUUAAUACCCNNNGACGAUGACAUUAGCUGCAGAAUAAGCACCGGCUAACUCUGUGCCAGCAGCCGCGGUAAUACAGAGGGUGCAAGCGUUAAUCGGAAUUACUGGGCGUAAAGGGAGCGUAGGUGGCUCGAUAAGUCAGAUGUGAAAUCCCCGGGCUCAACCUGGGAACUGCAUCUGAUACUGUUGAGCUAGAGUAUGUGAGAGGAAGGUAGAAUUCCAGGUGUAGCGGUGAAAUGCGUAGAGAUCUGGAGGAAUACCGAUGGCGAAGGCAGCCUUCUGGCAUAAUACUGACACUGA